rnacentral:rRNA from 1 species
UACGUAGGGGCCUAGCGUUAUCCGGAAUUAUUGGGCGUAAAGAGCUCGUAGGCGGUUUGUCGCGUCUGCCGUGAAAGUCCGGGGCUCAACUCCGGAUCUGCGGUGGGUACGGGCAGGCUAGAGUUCGGUAGGGGAGACUGGAAUUCCUGGUGUAGCGGUGAAAUGCGCAGAUAUCAGGAGGAGCACCGGUGGCGAAGGCGGGUCUCUGGGCCGAUACUGACGCUGAGGAGCGAAAGCGUGGGGAGCGAACAGG